AUGCAAUGCCUAAUACAUGCAAGUCGAGCGAUCAGAUAAGAGCUUGCUCCUAUGACGUUAGCGGCGGACGGGUGAGUAACACGUAGGGUAACCUAGCCUCUAUUAAGAUCUAGGGAUAACUCCGAGGAAACCAGGGGCUAAUACCAGAGAUAAUCACUAUUUGAACUCUGCAUUAGGUUGCAGAAUACUUUGAAAGAGCGGGNUUUCGGCUUAGUCAGCUUAAUUAGGAUAGGAGCCCUGCAGUCGCAUUAGCUAGUUGGUGAGUGUAACGNGCUCACCAAUGGCAGACGAUGCGUAGCCGACCUGAGAGGGUGAUCUGGCCACACUGGGACUUGAGACACGGCCCAGACUCCUACGAGGGAGNGCAGCACAGGUAGGGGAAUCUUCCCGCAAUGGGGCGAAAAGUCUGACUGGGGAGCCAACGGCCCGCUGUUUGAAGUUGA
rnacentral:rRNA from 1 species